GCGGAAAAUGCCGAACCAAACGGACAGGCUGCAACCGUACCGAUCGACGAGCAUAUACGAGACUCGCCCAGGCGGCUUUCCUUUCACGAUGCCGGAUUUCGGGUGAUGUUAUCCAACCAAUUCGACCCGAAGACCCGUAUGAGAACUGCCUGCAGAGUCGUCAUUAUGGAGAAACAAUUGCUCCGGAAUCAGAGUCGAGUUAGGCGGCUCUCCAUGAAGAGCAAUAGAUGCUUCCAGCAGCUAAGCUUUGAAAGUGAGCUCGGCUCGUACACCAAGGCUGUGUAUGGAAACAUCACGACACCCGA